AUUGAACGCUGGCGGCAUGCCUUACACAUGCGAGUCGAACGGCAGCACGGGUGCUUGCCCCUGGUGGCGAGUGGCGAACGGGUGAGUAAUACAUCGGAACAUGUCCUGUAGUGGGGGAUAGCCCGGCGAAAGCCGGAUUAAUACCGCAUACGAUCCACGGAUGAAAGCGGGGGACCUUCGGGCCUCGCGCUAUAGGGUUGGCCGAUGGCUGAUUAGCUAGUUGGUGGGGUAAAGGCCUACCAAGGCGACGAUCAGUAGCUGGUCUGAGAGGACGACCAGCCACACUGGGACUGAGACACGGCCCAGACUCCUACGGGAGGCAGCAGUGGGGAAUUUUGGACAAUGGGCGAAAGCCUGAUCCAGCAAUGCCGCGUGUGUGAAGAAGGCCUUCGGGUUGUAAAGCACUUUUGUCCGGAAAGAAAUCCUUGACUCUAAUACAGUCGGGGGAUGACGGUACCGGAAGAAUAAGCACCGGCUAACUACGUG
rnacentral:rRNA from 1 species